GGAGAGAUGGCUGAGUGGCCGAAAGCGCCGGAUUGCUAAUCCGGUGAGUGGGGAAUCCCUGCUCCGCGGGUUCGAAUCCCGCUCUCUCCG
rnacentral:tRNA from 1 species